UCCUACGGGAGGCAGCAGUGGGGAAUAUUGGACAAUGGGCGAAAGCCUGAUCCAGCAAUGCCGCGUGUGUGAAGAAGGCCUUCGGGUUGUAAAGCACUUUUAUCAGGAGCGAAAUGCCAUUGGCUAAUACCCGGUGGAGCUGACGGUA
rnacentral:rRNA from 1 species